AUUGAACGCUGGCGGCAGGCCUAACACAUGCAAGUCGAACGAGUGGCGGACGGGUGAGUAAUGUCUGGGAAACUGCCUGAGGGAGGGGGAUAACUACUGGCAACGGUAGCUAAUACCGCAUACCAUCGGAUGUGCCAAGAUGGGAUUAGCUAGUAGGUGGGGUAAAGGCUACCCUAGGCGCCGAUACCUAGCUGGUCUGAGAGGAUGACCAGCCACACUGGAACUGAGCAACGGUCAGACUCCUACGGGAGGCAGCAGUUGGGAAUAUUGCACAAUGGGCGCAAGCCUUAUUCAGCCAUGCCGCGUGUAUGAAGAAGGCCUUCUGGUUUUAAAGUACUUUCAUCGGGGAGGCGUUACCCGCAGAAGAAGCACCGGCUAACUCCGGGCCAGCAGCCGCGGUAAUAC
rnacentral:rRNA from 1 species